rnacentral:snRNA from 1 species
GUGCUCGCUUUGGCAGCACAUACACUAAAAUUGGAAGGAUACAGAGAAGAUUAGCAUGGCCCUGCACAAGGAUGAUACACAAAUUCAUGAAGCGUUGUAUAUUUAA